rnacentral:snoRNA from 1 species
AUGCAGUGAUGUGUUUGUCAACACAUCAUUCUGAGCUAUGCAGUGACAUCAUAUGACCAAGCACA